AUUGAACGCUGGCGGCAUGCCUAACACAUGCAAGUCGAGCGAGCGGCGGACGGGUGAGUAAUGUCUGGGAAACUGCCUGAUGGAGGGGGAUAACUACUGGAAACCGUAGCUAAUACCGCAUACCAUCAGAUGUUCCCAGAUGGUAUUAGCUAGUAGGUGGGGUAAUGGCUCACCUAGGCGACGAGCCCUAGCUGGUCUGAGAGGAUGACCAGCAACACUGGAACUGAGACACGGUCCAGACUCCGACGGGAGGCAGCAGGGGGGAAUAUUGCACAAUGGGCGCAAGCCUGAUGCAGCAAUGCCGCGUGUAUGAAGAAGGCCUUCGGUUUGUAAAGUACUGUCAGCGGGGAGGCGUUACCCGCAGAAGAAGAACCGGCUAACUCCGUGCCAGCAGCCGCGGUAAUAC
rnacentral:rRNA from 1 species